rnacentral:rRNA from 1 species
AUUGAACGCUGGCGGCAGGCCUAACACAUGCAAGUCGAGCGGAUGAAGGGAGCUUGCUCCUGGAUUCAGCGGCGGACGGGUGAGUAAUGCCUAGGAAUCUGCCUGGUAGUGGGGGAUAACGUCCGGAAACGGGCGCUAAUACCGCAUACGUCCUGAGGGAGAAAGUGGGGGAUCUUCGGACCUCGCGCUAUCAGAUGAGCCUAGGUCGGAUUAGCUAGUUGGUGGGGUAAAGGCCUACCAAGGCGACGAUCCGUAACUGGUCUGAGAGGAUGAUCAGUCACACUGGAACUGAGACACGGUCCAGACUCCUACGGGAGGCAGCAGUGGGGAAUAUUGGACAAUGGGCGAAAGCCUGAUCCAGCCAUGCCGCGUGUGUGAAGAAGGUCUUCGGAUUGUAAAGCACUUUAAGUUGGGAGGAAGGGCAGUAAGUUAAUACCUUGCUGUCUUGACGUUACCAACAGAAUAAGCACCGGCUAACUUCGUG